UUUCCCAGAAGUUCCUUCUGGCUGCCACAGCCAGGGCCAGCCCUGCUGCCCUGGCACCCCAGCCCAUCCACCCUGUACCCAUUGCCCAGGGGGACCCACAUAGGGAGGGUGCAUGGCUGAGCGGCUGGGAGCAGGAUGGGCAGGCAGGGCUGGAGAGACCCCGGGAUCUUGGGGAGGUGACAGCAUGGGGCUGAGGCAGAGCUGUGAUCUACUGCCUGCAUGCCCUACAAUGGGUGCUGGUUCCAUGGGCAGGGGCGUGCAGGGAGCAGAUCACAACCCUGCACUGUCACCACCCCAAGAUUCUGGCUCCAGAGUAGAUCCCUGCCCCAGCAAUGGACCCUGCCCACACAGUGCCUGGACGGUUACCAUGGAGACCCCGGGAACAGCAGGACCAUGACAGUGCGGGGCCGGGGCAAAGCCCUUGGUUCUGCAGCACCACACUGUCACAGCCCUUCAUUGUCAUGGCCCCAGCACUCCUGGGGGCUCUAUGGAGACCAGCUGGGAACCACACAGGCAAGGCAGCAGCUGCUGGCUGGGGCUCCACCAUUUUGCCCACCCCUAUUAUAUACCUUAGGUAUCUUUAUUUUAUUUUAUAAGUUAUUUUGUCUUGUAUUGUAAGCAUUUCAGAGGGAAGUGAGGCAUAUAAAUCUAAUAAAUAAAUUACUGGAGCAAAUUAUAAAACAAUCAAUAUGCUAAUAGCUACAAGAGGAAGAGGUAACUCCUAGCAGCCAAUGUGGACUUAUGAGGAAGAAAUCAUGUUAAACUAACUGAAUUUCCUUUGACAGGGCAACUAGGUGAGAAGAGAAGCUAAAAAAUUAGACUGUAAAAUGUCAAAUAUUGGCAGAGAUACUUAGGGGCAGAUAUAAUAUAGAGACUGUACUAUAUGGAAACUGGCUGGGUAGAUAUGCACCUUAUAGACUAACUAAAUAAAUAUAUAAAGAGAGCACAAGGUUUUGUGUACCCAAGUUCACUUCAUCAGAUGCUGUGAACGGACAAGCAUAGAGCAGUGUUUGCAGUGGAGUGAGUGAUUUGAAUACAAAAGGUGGAAGAAGAGGAGGGAGAAGGAGGGUGGAGAAGGACAAUGUUAGAAGCAACAAACAAAUAAAGAACCCAGUGGAACAAAGGCCUCAUGAAAGCCAACUCAGAUAAUGGGAUAAGAAUCCAUAGUCUCUGUUUAAACCACACCUAACACAGUCCAGUCUGUGUAUGAUUUCUUGUUCCUCAAUAUCCUGUUCAAACUGGUGUUUCAGAUUUUGCUGCCUGAGAACAGCUUCCCUGAGGUUAGUGGUGUCCAAGGAGGUUAAGGUGUUCUGAUGCAGAAAAUAUUAAUUUUCGUGACUAUGAAUAGGUAUAUGUGUUUACACAAUAUGCAAAGCAAUUAAGAACAGGGCACCAUUUUUAAAAGCUUGGAAUACAAUACAUUUUAGUAGGAUUUUAUAACUACAAGUGAACUAUAGGGAACAGGGGUAGAUCCAGGGAGGUGGGGGUUGGGGUGCAGUCAACCCCUCUUCCCCCCUCUUUGAUUCCUGCUCCACUGAAAUUUUAAAACAAACUACCAAGCAGGGACAUCCCGUUUUCUGUGCAUGUGGAGCUGAGAGAGUUAACUGACUUCAUGGCUCAUUAUUAUCUACUUGAUUUUUGCUAAUCUCUUCACUUCUUAGGUGUUAACAAUGCUUGAUCUUCUAAUCACCAAGCUUUUCUUCUACAAUUGUCUCUUAUCUACUAAUGUUUCUCUGCUCGCUUCCCUACCUCCGGCAUGUUCAGUUGUGGUGUGCUGCUACCAAGGAAACAAUACUGAGUGGCUUUGUUUGGAGGGGAUUCAAACCCACAAAAAAUCAGACAGGAAAGGGAGGGGCAGAGCUAAAAGUUGGCUGAGCUGUGCAGUGGCAGUCAGAGGCAGGAGAGAGUUGCGAAGGUGAGGGGAAGAGGAGCAGCAACAGCAGCUGGGAAAGGAAGUUUCGUAUCUUGAUGGCUUGACAAGAAUAUGUCAAAAUGGACCAAUAUGUAUGAUAAGCAGAUUGGAACUGAUCAAACUGCAAAAGGAAAGGAAGGGGAAGCAGCAACAAAUAGAUACCGUUUGGAGGAAAUAGCAGAACUGAAAACUUGCAUCAAGAGGGUAAAGUAUGAAAGUGACUCUCAUGGUUCUAAAUUAGAAAAUUAAAAAUACAACUUUAAUAGCAGAAAAUGUAAAGGCAGUUCAUCCUUUCUGUCAAAGUCAUGUAUACAUCUCAAUGUCUUUUCAGAAUUCCUUUCAUUAUGUAUUUCUUGAGGGUUUAACAUCUGCAAGCAGACAUAAUAACUAAUGUCAUUAUGUUAAUUGUUUCACUUUUACAUUGCUCUCUACAUUAUUUGUAAAUCAGUAGAUCUCAGCUGAGAUACUGAGGUGCCCCUUUAAAGAUCCUUUGAUGGGUGAUGUGGCACCUGGCCCCUGUGUAAGGAGGUAAGUGCUGGCUCCGUAGCUGGUGGGAAGAGCUACAGGGGAGUCCCCAGAGGAGCAGCUGUAGCUAUGGGGGCUAUGCUGUCCCUCUAAGGGGAAAAUGCAGAAAAGAAAAAAAAAAUGAGCAGGCAUGGCAGGAUCCUGCCCUUACUUGGCACCUAUACCAAACUCUGCAUCCAGUGGCUCUUGUCACUCCCUUCCUCAUCUUGUAGGGAUAGCUACCUCCCUUAGGGGUCUAGUGACCCACCCCUGAACUCCCCAGUCUGCCACACUGAGCAGUCCAUACCAUUGCUAAACAAGGUGAACCACCUCUGCCAUGCUCUGAAGGGGUACCCUGCCCAUUGCUACUUGCCCUGCCACCCCAUGAGAUCCUUUUAAGGGUGCCACAGGGUGCGAGAAGGUGAGUGCUUCAGGAAAUAAAUUGAUUUUUGAAGGGGUGCCACUAUAUUCCAAAAAAUUAUGAAACGUGCCUCAAGUCUAAAAAGGUUGAGAACCAUUGUUUUACACUGAACUCUACCGCCUUUAGAAAGAACUUUGGGCCUUACAUAUUUGGUUGUGAUGCUUGAUUUUGUUGAUUUUUUUGUCUUACACUGAUGUAGUAACAUUUCUGUUUUUGUAGAUGAGCACAGAAAAUGGUUCUCUGCUGGAGAAAAUGAAAGUACUUCAGAAAGCCACAGACAAUAAGUCUCCCAGGUGUUGUUUGUUGUUAGCUGUUCACAAGAGUACAGAAACUCUAACAAUUUCCCAGUACAGUUCUUUUGACUGUGGAUCAGAAAGCACCCAUUGCUUUGAUAGCUGUCAUGUGGCUACAUGCAUUUCCAUGCAAUGUGUUGCUGGGACAACCUUAGUGGAGGAAGAUAUAAGCUGAAUGAAAGAAAUGUAUAAACAGCUGUAAGAACUGAUUUUGUAUUUGUUGUUAUGAAAAUAAAUGAAGGGGCCUGGAUACAAUUUUCCCACUGGAAAGUUCAUAGGGGAGUGAAACACAGCAAGGAGCUCAGCAAGUAUAGAACUAGAACAAUGACAAUUUGGUACAGCCAAUUGUGUUUAUAAAAGUCUGGGGAGAUAGGUAAAACGGUGAUUAUUUACAUGAUAAUGGUGACCAGUCCUAACAGGACUAUUUAUGUGAAAUGAAGUGGUGCACAUGUUUUGGAGCUCUUGGGAAGGACUCCUGAAACUGUUUCAGGUGUCUAGGGCCAGGGCUGUGUCCUUAGGUGUGUUUGGGCAACACUUGGCACAAUGGGGCCUUGGUCUUUGGAGUCUCUUGAUUCCACAGAACAGAAAAUGGCUAUUUGGACUUCUCCUGGGAUUCAUGAUAGGGCCAUUUGCAAGCAAAGCUCUGCUACAAUCCUAACUAUAAUUGCAAAGGUGUCAUAACAAAUAUUCAAACCAAUUUCCAUGGAAACCUCAAUUUCAUCUCUGAAUUUUAGCAUGUUUUAAGACAGCAGGAGUGGUAAAAAUCAUGUAGUGGUUGUAUGCAUGGAGAAAUGCUUAUUCUUUGCAUUAACUCUUUAUUGGCUCAAAUUUCUGUGUAUAUGAGAAAAUUAUGCAUGCAAAUUUAGAGACUUUUAAAAAAUGUUAUCUCCCCUGUAAAAUGCUUGAAUCAGAUUCACAUUUGGGUUUCCGUUCUCAUUUCCUCUCAGCAUAAAUAUGAGUCUGAGAGACACAACAGCGAAAUGAUUCCAAAGCAUAUAGCAAUUUUAAACACGGAUCCUUUAAUAAAAGAGUAAGUUUUUAAAAUCCUCUCUGUACAAAGUUGCAAUUGCUAAUCAUUUGUUUAAUUUGGAUUUACAGUGUAAUGUACAAUAUAAUCAUUUUUAUUCUUUAAGGAAAUGAGAACCUAACUUUCUACUUGAUAUUAUGUUAAUAACGUACCCAAGAAGGUAGUUUCUAGAAGAAGCAAUGCCGUACAUCAAAAGAACGCUAAGAAAAGUGGAGUAAAUUUAGAAGACAGAAACUGAGAAACAGAAAGCAGCUCAGAGAGACUUGUUAUCCAGCCAGAACAUGGGAUUUAAUGUAAUACUCCACAAAUAGGUUUGCUGCUGUGUCUAGAGGUCAGUGGAAACAUGAUUAGUUCUGUCUUAGAGAUGUUUAAACUUGGAUGCCUAACUCUGGUGCUAGGAAAGUGCAUGCAGAACCUCCUGAUUUCAGUGGGAGAUGAACAUUGGCAUGUAGGGCAACAAUACACAUGGCUCUUAGGAGGAGAGUAUUCACUCAGGCCUUGUACCUUCAGGAUUUAUAAUGUCACUGACAUUUCUUUUUUUUUUUUUGUAGAGCUUGCUGCUGCUGAAAGCAUGUUUGCUGUAAUUUACAUUGAAUAUCAAGCAAAACUAGGUAACUUGUGUCACAGAUCUGACCAAACACUUUUUACUGGUGACUCACAAGACUGCUGUGAGAUCAGCCAGCCUCUGUGUCUCCUGGGUGAUCUGAGCUUUCAAAUGGGCCUCUCAGCACAUUCUCAAGGUGCAGAUCAUCUGCCUUUUACUCCCUUGCUAGAGUGCAAAUGUGAAGUCUUAACUAGCUGUGCCCUGAGUUAAUGUUGCCUGUGGGCAUGCAGAGGCUUCAGCUUAAGUGUUCAGGAGGAUGCAAUAGGUGUAGACAGACAAAUCGAGACAGUCUUUGUGCAGAGUUUCUAAGCACACGUUACUGCUCUCAGUCGUGUGAGAAACACAGUUCAUUCAGAAAACAAGUGUGCAUACUGAGUGCAGUGCUCCUCAAUCAGCUCACCCUUCCUUAGGGGAUGUGUCUUAUGUCAGGUGACAUCUGGAUCUGCCUUAAGAAAAGGCCACUACUCUACCAGGUAAGGACAGUAUUAUGCCAUUUUUCCUCUGAUUAAAACUGUCCCCUAGGAUCAGAGUUGUUUUAGUGUGAGUACAUGUCACUGGUAGAACAUUUAAGUAAUUGACCCUCUAGUAUUAACCCUUGUUUUAGUAAUUUAAGAGAAAGGAUGUAACAUAAGCAUGUUCAGGGAUUUAUGCCUGCUCAGACAUGAUACAGUCUGUGCUGGCUCAGACACAAACUUUAACCCAAACACAGUCCAUCAAGGGUUAACUCCCAGGUCUGAGUCUCUUCAGAACCCGGGAAGGUGACUCUGGCUUACUGCUGCAAUCUUCUCUCUCAGGCUGGCUGUGACUCAGUUCCCUGCCCUGGUAUCACUGCUCCCAAUCUCACAGCACUUCGGUCUCUUCCUAGACCCAAAGAGUAGAGUCUGUAAUCCUAUAUUGCAGCCACUGGCCAGACUCUCACAGUCUAUCCAUCUGUCUGUCUCUGCCUUUCUCUCCCUGGGAGCCUUUUACUUCCUGUGGGCCAGCUAAUUAUCUCCUUCAGCUGGCCCAGUCCUCCUGAGCAGCCUGUAAUUAGCAUUACUGCUCACAGCUGGGCUACAGCCUCUGGCCCCACAGCCUACUACAGUCUGCCACAGGUAGUUGCAGGACAGGGUGGCACCUUUAAGGUUAGGCUGUACCCUAUGGAAAGCUUAUGCUUUUCUGAAGGAGUUAGUGGUACCACGCAGCCUCAUCUUUGGCCUUAGGAAUUUUACUAAAGGACAGACAAAAAGACAACAGGAAGGUAAAGACCAGCCUUACAAUGGAAAUGGAAUUUGCAUUGUAAUACAGGUGUGUGCAGGAUGCAUAAUCACCAACAGAAUUCUUUGAUUUCCCAAAUCUUCACAAAUAUUUUAAGUGAUAUUUCUGUUUUUCUCAGAAAUUUUCUGUUGCUGAAAACACAUCACUUAAGGUUACCUUACACUUCAAUGAUAGAUGAAAUGAUAUCCAUUGGUAGUGGAUAAAUGGAAAUACAGUGCUUCGAUUACAAAUAAUAGACAUAUAGAAGCAUUUUUACAUAAGGAUAUGGAAUUAGAAGGGAUGUCUUGGGUCACUGAGUCCAGUUCCCUGCUAUUACAGACAACUUUACAAUACUGUAUUUAUAAGCUGAUCAAGCACAGCCUUAAAGUGAAGGCAAGAAACCAAACUGUUUCCACGGGCAGGAUGUUCCAUAACCAUACUGAUCUAAUGGUCAGAAAUCUUCCAGCCUGCAUUUAUUCAUGGGUAAUUUAUAUCCAUUUGUUUUUGUGCCAGCAUUGUCUUGUAGAUUAAGCAGCUCUUCUCUCUCCCUGGUCUUUACUUUCCUGACAUAUUCAUAGAGAGCAGUCAUAUCUCCUCAGACUUUAUUUUGCUAGGCUAAAUAAGCCAACUGUUUUAGUGUCCUGUUGUAAAGUAGGCUAAUCAUUACUCUUAUCAUUUUAGAAGCCCUUUUAUACCUUUUCCAGUUUGAUUUAAUCUUUUCUGAACAAGUGUGGUGAGAAUUGUGUUCUGCAUUCCAGAUCAGGUCUCACCAGUGCCUUCUCCAGUGGUACUAAUACUCCCCUGAUACAUCCAAUCAUAGCAUUUGCCUUUUUCAUGAUUAGAACACAUGGGCGAUGAAUCUCCUGCUGUCAUUUCCAGCUGAUGUGCCCUUGAGAAAAAAAAAUUCUUACUUGUCCUUAAGUGCAUAGCCAAUCAGACAUCAUCCCAUAUCUGUUACAUCAGCCCUCAAGCUUAUUCAUUUCCUCCUGUAUAAUAAUGACUAUCAUUUCUGCUGAUGAUGCUUUUCAAUGUUUUAUCUAAACGAACUAGCACACUCCUACUGUUUGUGGAGAGUUUAUUAAAGAAAAUAUUAAGUAAGAGUGUCCCAACACUAAUCUUUGAGGAACACCACUUGCAACUUCCCUCUAGCCCAAUAAUUCUCCUUUCAACACAAACCAUUAUCAUUUCCCAUUUAGCCAGUUCUUAUCCAGUUUACCUUAUUUCUCAUGUGGUACCAGAUCAAAUGAAUGUCAGAUGGUUUUCUGAAGUCUGACCAUAUCAUAUCUACUACUUUCCCCCUGUCUACAAAAUCAGUUAUGUUAUCAAAGAAAGAUAUGUUUGUCUGUACAAUCUUCUUUUGCAUUUUAUUCCAUUUUACCCUUUUUAUCUCAUCUGACCUCAUGAGGUCCCUUCCUGCCUUAUUUUUCUAUGAUCCUGUGAUCUCUAAAUCUUAAAUCAUUCUUUCUUUCAAAUUUUGCCAUAAUGCCUUGCAUAUUAUUGAGACUGGACCAACAGCCUGGUUGUCUAGAUAACUAUCCCUCCAUCCCUUCUUAAAUAUAAAUAUCACUAUGCUGUUUUCCAGUUAUUAGAGAUGAUUGCCGGCUUACUAGAAUUAUUAAAAAUAUUUCUUACUGGCACUGAUAUUUCAUUUGUCAGUUCUUUCAGAAUUAUGGGAUAGAGAAUUUUUGGUCCCUUUUGACUGGAUGCAUUUGUUACCACCUUGUAUGUGGUAAUUUCUGUUCCCACUAGUCAUCCUGCCCUUUACCCUCCAUGGUCAUUAUCAUUGUCUCAGUUUUCGAACUGGGACAAUGAUAAAGUGUUUAGUUUUUGGGCCAUACCAAGACUUCUACCCCUGGCCCAAUUUCUACCCCUGCCACUUCAUGGCAGCUCCCUGUCUUGUUCUUGUUUUAAUUCCAUGGCAGAACCAGCUUUUACUCUUUAACUAGACCUUGCACAAGAAAUUAAUCUUGACUUUGGCCAUUUUUACUUUAUCCCUACCCUUCGUGAUGUAACGUUUGUUAACCAGGCUCUUUUCCAUUACCUGUAAGCUCUCUGCUUACUCAAAAUAUCCUUUUCUUGGGUGGGUACCCAAUUAGGUAGAUAGUCCUAUCUUACAUGUUUUGCUGUUGCCUGCAUUGCAAGUUACAGGCAACUUUCGUACCUUUGGUAAAAAGAAAUUCCAGAUUGCUUCAAUGCUCAAGUUCCUGGGCUCCAUAGUCCUCCUGUGCCUAUUAAUUUGAUUCCUAAAGCUUUUCAAAAUGUACCCUUCUGAAGUCAGGAACCUUGCUUAUAGGACCAUUUCUAUUAAUCCUUCCAUUUAAAAUAAAUUGAAUUAACUCAUGAUCACUCAAUCCAGAUGUCUUGUAAUAUAUUCACUGCUUUUCAAAGCCAAGUCUAAAAUAAUAACACCUCUUAUUGGUACAAUGACUGCUUGUUGAAGAAAUCUUUUGGCUCUCACAUCCAUGAAUAUCAUCGUGCUACUAUUCUUAGUCGUAUUAAUUUUUCAGUCCACCUGGGAAGUUAGUCUUUCACAAUGGCACAAUUACUACUACUGUUAUUAUUUCUAAUAAGAUUAAAGAAAUCCUUGCCCAUAUCCAAAGCUGACCUAUAGCAGACCCUUUGCACCAUCUCACUAACAUUUUUCCUACCGUCAUCUCCCAAAAGGAUUUUGACCCAAAUUGAUUUUAUCCAUGUCACCCCUUAUAUUUUUUUAAUCUCUCACAUCAUUUGUGUGUAAUGCUUACCUACCACCUUUGUGUUUACUUCUGUCAUGAACAACAGCUGCCUUUCACUACCCAUGUUCCAAUCACUACUGCUAUCCACCAUUUCUCUUUCCUCUGUAAUAUCUGGUUUCACGUCCUGCCCCUCUAAAUCUAGUUCCUCUAUUCUGUUGGACAAGUUUCUUGCAUUGGCGGUCAAAUAUUUCAGUUAUUUCUCACUGACCUUGUCCACUAUUUUUGCUGAAUACAUCUGAGCCUAGCAACUGUAUCUUCCACCUGACUACUACCAAUGCCAGUACUGUAUAAGGACUUUUCUUUCAUAUAUAUGUACAAUUCCAUAUUGUACUGUUAUUGAAAUAAAGUGAAUGCAGUGUAA